rnacentral:rRNA from 1 species
ACACACGAUCCCGGCUCAGGGCGAACGCUGGCGGCGCGCCUAACACAUGCAAGUCGUGCGAUCGGCCUCCGAGAAGUCCCUUCGGGGAUGGAUCGGGGGUACGGAGCGGCGAACGGGUGAGUAACACGUAGCUAACCUGCCCCCGCGCCGGGGAUAACCCGGGGAAACCCGGGCUAAUACCCGAUGGUCUCUCGGGGUCACAAGAUCCCGGGAGUAAAGGCGCUUCGGCGCCGUGCGGGGAGGGGGCUGCGGCCCAUCAGCUAGACGGUGGGGUAACGGCCCACCGUGGCGAUGACGGGUAGGGGGCCUGAGAGGGUGGCCCCCCACACGGGCACUGAGACACGGGCCCGACUCCUACGGGAGGCAGCAGUGGGGAAUCUUGGGCAAUGCCCGCAAGGGUGACCCAGCGACGCCGCGUGGGGGAUGAAGCCCUUCGGGGUGUAAACCCCUUUUCUGGGGGACGAAUAAGGAGGGGAGGAAAUGCCCCUCCGAUGACGGUACCCCAGGAAUAAGCCCCGGCUAACUACGUGCCAGCAGCCGCGGUAAGACGUAGGGGGCUAGCGUUGCCCGGAUUCACUGGGCGUAAAGCGCGCGUAGGCGGUUCGGCAAGUCGCCCGUGAAAGCCCCUGGCUCAACUGGGGGAGGUCGGGCGAUACUGCCGGGCUAGAGGGCGGCAGAGGGAGGUGGAACGGCCGGAGUAGCGGUGAAAUGCGUAGAUACCGGCCGGAAUCCCGAUGGCGAAGGCAACCUCCUGGGCCGUUCCUGACGCUGAGGCGCGAAAGCUGGGGGAGCGAACCGGAUUAGAUACCCGGGUAGUCCCAGCCCUAAACGAUGCGGGCUAGGUGUCGGCCCGUCAUUGGGUCGGUGCCGCAGCUAACGCGUUAAGCCCGCCGCCUGGGGAGUACGGUCGCAAGGCCGAAACUCAAGGGAAUUGACGGGGGCCCGCACAAGCGGCGGAGCAUGUGGUUUAAUUCGAUCUAAGCGAAGAACCUUACCCGGGCUUGACAUGCGGGUGGUACCGACCCGAAAGGGAAGGGACCCAGG